rnacentral:rRNA from 1 species
GACGAACGCUGGCGGCGUGCCUAAUACAUGCAAGUUGAGCGCUGAAGGUUGGUACUUGUACCAACUGGAUGAGCAGCGAACGGGUGAGUAACGCGUGGGGAAUCUGCCUUUGAGCGGGGGACAACAUUUGGAAACGAAUGCUAAUACCGCAUAAAAACUUUAAACACAAGUUUUAAGUUUGAAAGAUGCAAUUGCAUCACUCAAAGAUGAUCCCGCGUUGUAUUAGCUAGUUGGUGAGGUAAAGGCUCACCAAGGCGAUGAUACAUAGCCGACCUGAGAGGGUGAUCGGCCACAUUGGGACUGAGACACGGCCCAAACUCCUACGGGAGGCAGCAGUAGGGAAUCUUUCGGGCAAUGGACGAAAAGUCUGACCGAGCAAACGCCCGCCAUGAGUGAAAGAAAGGUUUUUCGGAUUCGUAAAAACUUC